rnacentral:rRNA from 1 species
AGAGUUUGAUCAUGGCUCAGAACGAACGCUGGCGGCAUGCCUAACACAUGCAAGUCGAACGAGACCUUCGGGUCUAGUGGCGCACGGGUGCGUAACGCGUGGGAAUCUGCCCUUGGGUUCGGAAUAACAGUUAGAAAUGACUGCUAAUACCGGAUAAUGACGUAAGUCCAAAGAUUUAUCGCCCAGGGAUGAGCCCGCGUAGGAUUAGCUAGUUGGUGGGGUAAAGGCCUACCAAGGCGACGAUCCUUAGCUGGUCUGAGAGGAUGAUCAGCCACACUGGGACUGAGACACGGCCCAGACUCCUACGGGAGGCAGCAGUGGGGAAUAUUGGACAAUGGGCGAAAGCCUGAUCCAGCAAUGCCGCGUGAGUGAAGAAGGCCUUCGGGUUGUAAAGCUCUUUUACCCGGGAAGAUAAUGACUGUACCGGGAGAAUAAGCCCCGGCUAACUCCGUGCCAGCAGCCGCGGUAAUACGGAGGGGGCUAGCGUUGUUCGGAAUUACUGGGCGUAAAGCGCACGUAGGCGGUCUAUUAAGUCAGAGGUGAAAGCCCGGGGCUCAACUCCGGAAUUGCCUUUGAAACUGGCAGACUUGAACACGGGAGAGGUGAGUGGAAUUCCCA